rnacentral:rRNA from 1 species
UCCGGUGACUCUGGCGGAGGGGUCACACCCGUUCCCAUCCCGAACACGGAAGUUAAGCCCUCCAGCGCCGAUGGUACUGCAUUGGCAACGAUGUGGGAGAGUAGGUCGUCGCCGGAU